CGUCAGCGGCGGGGCCAGCGGCCGCGCGCCCCGGCGGGAGAGGAGCCGCGGGCCGGGGCUGUUCCCGCUGGGAUUUCAAACGCCGUAAGGAAAUGCAAUGGAAGAAGGGAGGAAGAGCAAUUCAGAUCAAUCCAGAAGUGUAGCUGCUAAACCAGAAAAGAUGGAUACAUGAAGACCAUGCAUUUAUCAGAGAUCCUGCUAUUUUCCCAAAACCAGACACCUCAGAGAAGGACUCCUGUCAACAUGAAUUGUCUGUCAUGUGCUUUAAAAUGUUUUGAAAAAAAAUAUGGCAUGCCAUCUGGCUCCCAAGCACCCAUUAAAUCCAUUGGAAUAUAA